rnacentral:rRNA from 1 species
AGGGCACCACCAGGAGUGGAGCCUGCGGCUUAAUUUGACUCAACACGGGGAAACUCACCCGGCCCGGACACCGUAAGGAUUGACAGAUUGAUAGCUUUUUCAUGAUUCGGUGGAUGGUGGUGCAUGGCCGUUCUUAGUUCGUGGAGCGAUUUGUCUGGUUUAUUCCGAUAACGAGCGGGACUCUAGCCUACUAAAUAGUUCGCACAUUGUCUCUGUGUGUGUGACUUCUUGGAGGGAUUUUCGGUGUUCAGCCGCACGAAAUUGAGCAAUAACAGGUCUGUGAUGCCCUUAGAUGUCCGGGGCUGCACGCGCGCUACACUGGCAAAAUCAGCGUGCUUGUCCUUCCCCGAAAGGGGUUGGUAAACCCUUGAAAAUUUGCCGUGAUUGGGAUUGGAAAUUGCAAUUAUUUUCCAUGAACGAGGAAUUCCAAGUAAGUGCGAGUCAUCAGCUCGCGUUGAUUACGUCCCUGCCCUUUGUACACACCGCCCGUCGCUGCCCGGGACUGAGCCAUUUCGAGAA